CGAUCUUCUCGGAUAAUCAGCGAUCCUUUGAGAUAAUCAACGAUCUUCUCGGAUAAUCAGCGAUCCUUUGAGAUAAUCAACGAUCUUCUCGGAUAAUCAGCGAUUCUUUGAGAUAAUCAACGAUCUUCUCGGAUAAUCAACGAUUUGUUAAGAAAAUAAGCGAUCAUCUAAGGAAAUCAUUUUAAGAUCAAGUAUCUUAAGAAAAAUUUAAACUUUUAAAGAAACAAAGAUCUUAAAUUCAUAAAUAGUUUCCCACAUUCCUUUAUACACUGAUCAUUGAUCAGUGAUCAGUGAUCAAACAAUUAAAUAUAUAUUAUACAAAACUUGUUUAAAAAAUCUAGCAGGUUUUGUGUUAUCAGCUAUUCGGUUGUAACUCCCCUGUCAUCGAUAAUGAUGAUAAUGAAUUAUUAUUAAUAAUAUUGUUAUUGCUAAACUUCAAGAAACUAUAAGCGUAAUUUUAAGGAACCCUUCAUGCAAAAAUACUAAUGCUCGAUUCACAACGGUGUCCUUAAACCUUGUCAAAUCAGGGUUCCAAGAGUACCGUUGUGAAUCCGGCAUUGAUAUUUUGCUUAGUGCGUCUCUUUAAAGAAAUGUUUCCUACUAACAAAUAAAUGUGAUACUUAUAUUUUUAUUUUUUGACGACAAUUUUAUUUUUUUUAAUGUAACAGCUUGAACCUUGAUUUAUUUAUUGCAUUUUAAAUUUAUCUUUAAUGUUUAUCAAUAAUAUGUGUGCAAUUUUACAUCAUGUAAAUUUAGAUUUUAUCCCUAAAAUGUUACAUUAACUAUAUGUUCAAAUGAAAUGAUGAAAUAUAUGUUUAGUUGAUAAAUGAA